rnacentral:rRNA from 5 species
AAAUUGAAGAGUUUGAUCAUGGCUCAGAUUGAACGCUGGCGGCAGGCCUAACACAUGCAAGUCGAACGGUAACAGGAAGCAGCUUGCUGCUUUGCUGACGAGUGGCGGACGGGUGAGUAAUGUCUGGGAAACUGCCUGAUGGAGGGGGAUAACUACUGGAAACGGUGGCUA